CGCAAUGGGCGAAAGCCUGACGGAGCGACACCGCGUGAUGGAUGAAGUGCUUCGGUAUGUAAACAUCUUUUAUAGGGGAAGAAGUAUAUUGACAGUACCCUAUGAAUAAGGACCUGCCAAACUCGUGCCAGCAGCAGCGGUAAUACUAGUGGUCCAAGCGUUAUCCGGAAUUAUUGGGCGUAAAGCGUGCGUAGGUGGAAUUAUUAUUCGAUUGUUUAACCCACGGGCUCAACCUGUGGAUUGCAAUCAAAACGGUAGUUCUUGAGGAAGUGAGAGGUUUGCGGAACUCAUAGAGUAGGGGUGAAAUCCGUUGAUAUUAUGGGGAACACCAAAAGCGAAGGCAGCAAACUAACACUCUCCUGACACUGAGGCACGAAAGCGU
rnacentral:rRNA from 1 species